rnacentral:rRNA from 1 species
UACGUAGGUGGCAAGCGUUGUCCGGAUUUACUGGGCGUAAAGAGCGCGCAGGCGGUCGUUCAAGUCGCGUGUGAAAGCCCCCGGCUCAACUGGGGAGGGUCACGCGAUACUGAUCGACUCGAAGGCAGGAGAGGGUAGUGGAAUUCCCGGUGUAGUGGUGAAAUUCGUAGAUAUUCGGAAGAACACCAGUGGCGAAGGCGGCUCACUGGCCCGUUACCGACGCUCAGGCGCGACAGCGUGGGGAGCAAACAGG